AGAUUCACGCAACCAGUUCUCAAUUAUUGGAACGAUACAGAGAAGAUUAGCAUGGCCCCUGCCCAAGGAUGACACGCAAAUUCGUGAAGCGUUCCAUACGACC